CAAAAUGGCGACCAGGAAGUGAAUUGUAGAAAUGAUAACGACGAUGUUAGCUGUUUGUAAGCAAAAUGUGAUAUGUCAUGGGAUACCUUAUCAGCCCGUGGAUACAUAAGGUUGGCAUAGACGCCUUAAGUCCAAGUGUGGUGAAAAGGAACUGAACCUGUACCGAUUGAUCUCCGCCCUUCACCGCAAAGCAAAGCUGCUACCUACCCAGGCCACAAUGCUGCACGAAAAAAAGUUGACAAGCCAGGCGUAUUGUGCCCUUAAACCUACUAUGGUCUUAAGCCUGCACUAUUCAUGAGUGGGCGUGGCUUAUGUAUGCACGUGACACUAUCUUUGGCAGGGCUGGUUGACCUCUCCGAAAGCAUCCCUGACUCAUCUGUCGUCGCGAUGUUUCACUCACAAUCUCCACAUCAGCAACAAUGGGCGACUUGCUCGGCUCCUCAAGGCAGAUGGUCAGUGUGCAC